rnacentral:rRNA from 1 species
AUUGAACGCUGGCGGAAUGCUUUACACAUGCAAGUCGAACGGCAGCACGGGGGCAGCCCUGGUGGCGAGUGGCGAACGGGUGAGUAAUACAUCGGAACGUGCCCGGUCGUGGGGGAUAACGUAGCGAAAGUUACGCUAAUACCGCAUACGAUCUGAGGAUGAAAGCGGGGGACCUUCGGGCCUCGCGCGAUCGGAGCGGCCGAUGUCAGAUUAGGUAGUUGGUGGGGUAAAGGCCUACCAAGCCGACGAUCUGUAGCUGGUCGGAGAGGACGACCAGCCACAGUGGAACGGGGACGCCGCCCGGCCCCCUGCGGGAGGCCGCAGGGGGGAAUGUUGGACAGUGGGCGCGAGCCUGACCCAGCCUUUCCGCGCGCGGGACGAGGGCCUUCGGGUUGUAAACUUCUUUUUUGCGGAGCAAAAAGCCUCUGGCUAUUACCUGGGGCUAAUGACGUUACCGAAAAAAGAAGCCCCGGCUAACUACGUG